UAGUAGUAAUGUUAAACAAAACUAAUUUAAAACGGCGGCAUUUAUUUUAUUUAGAGGAACUUGUCUAAUAAUCGAUAACCCACGAUAAAUUUCACUUAUAAAUAUAGCUUAUAUACCGCCAUCUAAAGAACUAAUCUAAUCAUAUUAUUCUUAAUAAAAAAUAAAAAGUUAGGUCAAGGUGUAGCCAAUAUAUAAGUCAAAAAUGAGUUACUAUAAUUCUAAUUUUAGGAUUAAAAAUCCAAAAAUUUUUAUGAAAAAGGAUUUACUAGUAAUAUAUAAAUAAUAUUUAUAAAUGAAUUAAAUUAAAAAUGUGC
rnacentral:rRNA from 1 species